GAUGAACGCUGGCGGCGUGCCUAAUACAUGCAAGUCGAGCGAACAGAUGAGGAGCUUGCUCCUCUGACGUUAGCGGCGGACGGGUGAGUAACACGUGGAUAACCUACCUAUAAGACUGGGAUAACUUCGGGAAACCGGAGCUAAUACCGGAUAAUAUAUUGAACCGCACGGUUCAAUAGUGAAAGACGGUUUUGCUGUCACUUAUAGAUGGAUCCGCGCCGCAUUAGCUAGUUGGUAAGGUAACGGCUUACCAAGGCGACGAUGCGUAGCCGACCUGAGAGGGUGAUCGGCCACACUGGAACUGAGACACGGUCCAGACUCCUACGGGAGGCAGCAGUAGGGAAUCUUCCGCAAUGGGCGAAAGCCUGACGGAGCAACGCCGCGUGAGUGAUGAAGGUCUUCGGAUCGUAAAACUCUGUUAUUAGGGAAGAACAAAUGUGUAAGUAACUAUGCACGUCUUGACGGUACCUAAUCAGAAAGCCACGGCUAACUACGUG
rnacentral:rRNA from 1 species